GAUCCCCACAGCCGGCAUGUGGGGCACUGUGGGUGCCGUGGGACUGGUGUGGGUCACGGACUGGCGGCUGAUCCUGGACUGGGUGCCGUACAUCAAUGGCAAGUUUAAGAAGGACGAUUAGGCAGCCCCCUCCCCCACCACAGGCCUCGAUGCUGCUGGGCUGGCCUUGUUCAUGAAGCCGGUACUGAAGAGCCAUUGUCAGCUGUGGACAUCCAGCAGAGCUGGUGCCUGAGCCCUGGGUAGGAUGCAGACACCCACUGUCCAGCUGGGGAGCUGAAGCUGCCCCUUGCCACAGGCCUCUAGGGAUACAUUGCAUGCUGAGGGCAUGCACCACUGUGUCCCCAUCAAACCACACAAGACUGGAUAUGUUGCUAAUGUUGGUGGCUUGUGUCCAGAAUACAGUCCUAUUUAGACCACCC
rnacentral:lncRNA from 1 species